rnacentral:rRNA from 1 species
UUCUUGAGUGUGUACUUGUUAAGCCUUUUAAGAAAAAAGUUAUUAACUUAAGGAAUUAUAACAAAGAAGCAACACGUAAAUGGAUUUUCCAUUUUUUAGUGUGUAUCAAUCGAGUUUCUGACCUAUCAGCUUUUGAUGUUAGGGUAUUGGCCUAACAUGGCUAUGACGGGUAACGGGGAAUUAGAGUUCGAUUCCGGAGAGGGAGCCUGGGAAAUAGCUACCACAUCUAAGGAAGGCAGCAGGCGCGUAAAUUACCCAAUUCUAAAGAAGAGAGGUAGUGACAAGAAAUAACAAUACAAGGCCAAUCUGGCUUUGUAAUUGGAAUGAUGGGAAUUUAAAACCUUCCCAAAACUCAAUUGGAGGGCAAGUCUGGUGCCAGCAGCCGCGGUAAUUCCAGCUCCAAUAGCGUAUGUUAAAAUUGUUGCAGUUAAAACGCUCGUAGUUGAAUUUCAAAGAAUCGAUAUUUUAAGUAACGCUUUGUAGAUUAAUCCACAUAACUGAUACUACGUAUCGACUUUGUGCGCAUUUUUCUACUUAUGUGUUCUUUUAAUUAAAAUGAUUCUUUUUAAGAUCUUUCUUUUUUGCUUCGGCAUUUUAGGAGAUCUUGUUACUUUGAGUAAAUUAGAGUGUUCAAAGCAAACAGAUUAUAGCAUCUUUAUGCGUUUGAAUACUACAGCAUGGAAUAACAAAAUUGAACAAGUCAGAAUUUUGUUCUUUUUUCUUAUUUUGGCUUAGUUACGAUUAAUAGGAGUAGCUUGGGGGCAUUUGUAUUCAGAUGUCAGAGGUGAAAUUCUUAGAUUUUCUGGAGACAAACAACUGCGAAAGCAUUUGCCUAAAAUACUUCCAUUAAUCAAGAACGAAAGUUAAGGGAGUGAAGACGAUCAGAUACCGUCGUAAUCUUAACCAUAAACUAUGCCGACUAGGC